CAAGGACGAAAAGUUGAAACUGCCCUUUUUAUUGUUUUGUUUUGGUUUUUGUUUGUUUUCUUGAGACAGGGUCUCGUUAUGUAGCCCAGGAUGGCCUCAAACUCUUGGCAAUCUUCCUGCCUCAGCCUCCCAAGUGCUGGGACCACAGGCAGGCACCAGCACGCUCAGGCUGCAGGUGCCCGUUUAGACACCUGCUUGGGCUUCCCCAGACUCCCGCUGUGUGCUGUCUACACCCGACCUGCAGCCUUCUCUACCUGAGAUGCACAAAGAAACCCAGACAGGACCAGUUGGCCCUGUGUGCUGUGUGCCGCCUCCUGACCGGCCUGUGUGGCACAGCCAGUGCAGCUCCCGGUCUAGAUGCUAAAAACCAGCCCAGAGAGGUUACGUGACCACUCGGAGGUCAAGGCCCAGGAGGUCGCAGGGCCAGGAUUCAAACUGCAGUGCACGCCCUUCACCUCUGAGGUCACUGCCGUGACCGCUGGCGCCUUUACUGGCC
ensembl:lncRNA